CCUACGGGUGGUUGCAGUGAGGAAUAUUGGUCAAUGGCCGGAAGGCUGAACCAGCCAAGCCGCGUGAAGGACGAAGGUGCCAAGCAUUGUAAACUUCUUUUGUCAAGGGACAAAAUCAGGCUCGAGAGCCUGACCGAGGGUACUUGACGAAAAAGCAUCGGCUAACUCCGUGCCAGCAGCCGCGGUAAUACGGAGGAUGCGAGCGUUAUCCGGAUUUAUUGGGGUUAAAGGGUGCGUAGUCGGGCUGUUAAGGCAGCGGUAAAAGCCCGGGGCUCAACCCCGGCGAGCCGUUGAAACUGGGUGUCGUGAGAUGUCGAGGGGGAUGCGGAAUGCGCAGUGUAGCGGU
rnacentral:rRNA from 1 species